GCAUACUUUUCAGCCAUCUUGUUAUUUUCGAAAAUCUUGAGGUUGGGUUUCGGCGACAACGCAGUGUGGCCGUUUUUCUUGUUUCUCGCUAUGAGUGAGUGAAAAAAGGAGUGUACUCCGUUUUGGAAUUCAUGAAACGAAGGUACGAUGAGUUUAAGGUUUCGCGUGGACGAUCGGAUACCUUCAACGAUGAAUGCCACCUUUCCUCGUUGAUGAACAUCGCAAAUGUAGCAAAAACGGAUGAGGAAUGAGCGAGAGAGAGAGAGCGAGAGAAAGAGAGAGCGAGAGAGAGAGAAAGACGUGCGAACGAACGAAGCGAGAGAGUAUAGUGCGAGAGAAAGAGCGCGAGAGGGGAGGGGUGUUCGGAGGUAGGGGGUGCUGUGUGGGACAGAGAAGAAAUGAUAAAAAGGCGGUGAGGAACGGCGAGUGUGUGAAACGAAGAACAAAAUUGUUCGCGCGCGGGAAUCAGCAGCGGUGUGUUUAAUCCUUUUGUGCUUGUGAUUUGCACGAAAAGGUCGUGAUUACCAGUGCGGAACGUGUGUUUUAUACCGCCGAAUUGAGAAUCUGCGUAUGAGAGUCAUUGAUAUAAAGUGUAUGAAAGGAAGAAAAUUUGUAGUACGGAAUGGCAACUUUGGCAGAGCAAGCGUCCAAGCUAUUGGACUUUAACCAGAAGUUAGAUAUAACGCUUCUUGAUAAUAUAGUAGGAUGUAUGUACACUGGAAUAGGGGAGCAACAAAGGGUUGCUCAGGAGGUAUUAACUACCCUUAAGGAACAUCCAAACGCAUGGACUCGCGUAGAUACCAUUCUAGAGUAUUCUCAGAAUCAGCAAACAAAAUAUUAUGCCUUACAAAUCUUGGAGCAAGUUAUUAAGACACGGUGGAAAGUACUACCUAGAAAUCAAUGUGAGGGUAUAAAGAAAUAUAUUGUAGGCCUCAUUAUAAAAACAAGUAGUGAUCCAGAGACAAUGGAUACUUCUAAAGUUUACCUCAAUAAAUUGAAUAUGAUCUUAGUGCAGGUAUUAAAACGAGAAUGGCCAAAGAAUUGGGAAUCUUUCAUUAGUGACAUUGUUGGAGCAAGUAAAACAAAUGAAAGCCUCUGUCAAAAUAACAUGGCAAUUCUCAAACUUCUCUCAGAAGAAGUAUUUGACUUUUCUAGUGGUCAACUGACACAAACAAAAGCUAAACAUUUGAAGGAUACAAUGUGUAGUGAAUUUUCACAAAUUUUUCAACUUUGCCUGUUUGUAAUGGAUAAUUCACAGAAUGUACCAUUAGUAGCUGUUACUCUGGAAACGUUAUUAAGGUUUUUGAAUUGGAUACCACUUGGAUAUAUUUUUGAAACUAAACUGAUAAAUACUCUAAUAUUUAAGUUUCUAAAUGUACCAAUAUUCAGAAAUAUUACACUUAACUGUCUCACAGAAAUUGCUGCUGUGACAGUAACGAAUUAUGAUGACAUAUUUGUUGCAUUAUUCAUAAAUACGAUGCAACAGUUAGAACAAAUGCUUCCACUUGAAACUAACAUAAAAGAAGCAUAUGCAGUUGGACAAAAUCAAGAACAAAAUUUUAUACAAAAUUUAGCAAUGUUUCUUUGUACUUUUUUAAAAGAGCAUGGUCAAUUAAUAGAAAAGAAGCAAUUAAAUGAAACAUUAUUGAAAGCCUUGCAUUAUCUUGUGUUAAUCUCAGAGGUUGAAGAAGUUGAAAUAUUCAAGAUUUGUUUAGAGUAUUGGAAUGGUUUAUUAGCUGAUUUAUAUAAAGAUCAUCCAUUUGUGGCACCUUCACCUUUUAUGUCAAAGAAUAUGACAGUUUCACACAGAAGAGUCUUCUACUGUCCAGUUUUGACUAAAAUCAGAUAUAUAAUGAUCAGUAGAAUGGCUAAACCUGAAGAAGUUUUGGUGGUUGAAAAUGAACAUGGUGAAGUUGUACGAGAAUUCAUGAAAGAUACUGAUUCUAUUAAUUUGUAUAAAAAUAUGAGAGAAACUCUUGUAUAUCUUACUCAUUUGGACUAUGUGGAUACUGAACGUGUUAUGACAGAAAAACUUCAGAAUCAAGUUAAUGGUUCAGAAUGGUCUUGGAAGAAUCUCAACACGCUAUGCUGGGCAAUAGGUAGUAUCUCUGGUGCAAUGCAUGAAGAAGAUGAAAAAAGAUUUUUAGUAACUGUAAUUAAAGAUUUACUUGGAUUAUGUGAGCAAAAAAAGGGUAAAGACAACAAAGCUAUAAUUGCCAGUAAUAUUAUGUAUGUUGUUGGACAAUAUCCAAGAUUUCUUAGAGCUCAUUGGAAAUUUUUGAAAACUGUUGUCAAUAAACUCUUUGAAUUUAUGCAUGAGACCCAUGAUGGAGUACAGGAUAUGGCCUGUGACACAUUCAUUAAGAUAGCUUUAAAAUGCAGGCGACAUUUUGUUACAACACAGGUCGGUGAAGCAUUGCCAUUUAUUGAAGAAAUUCUUUCAACAAUUAGUAGCAUCAUUUGUGAUCUUCAGACACAGCAGGUACAUACAUUCUAUGAAGCUGUUGGAUAUAUGAUAAGUGCUCAAACAGAUACAUUAGUUCAAGAACAAUUAAUAGAAAAAUAUAUGCUUUUGCCCAAUCAAGUUUGGGAUGAUAUUAUAUGCCAGGCGUCAAAAAAUGUUGAUGUGUUAAAAGAUCCUGAAGCAGUUAAGCAACUUGCUAGUAUUUUGAAAACAAAUGUUAGAGCUUGUAAAGCUCUAGGACAUCCAUAUGUGAUACAAUUAGGAAGAAUAUAUCUGGAUAUGUUGAAUGUUUAUAAGGUUAUGAGUGAGAAUAUAAGUGCUGCAAUAGCUUUGAAUGGAGAGACAGUGAUGAAACAACCUUUAAUUAAGAGUAUGAGAGUAGUAAAAAAAGAAACAUUGAAACUAAUUUCAGAUUGGGUUAGCAAAUCUCUUGAUCCACAAAUGGUAUUAGAGAAUUUUAUACCACCAUUAUUGGACGCAGUAUUACUGGAUUAUCAAAAGACAAAUGUUCAUUGUGCUAGAGAACCAGAAGUACUCAGUGCUAUGGCUACUAUAGUAAAUAAAUUGGAAGCUCAUAUCACUAGUGAAGUACCUAAAAUAUUUGAUGCCGUAUUUGAAUGCACUUUAGAGAUGAUUAAUAAAGAUUUUGAAGAAUUUCCCGAACACAGAACAAAUUUCUUCCUCUUACUACAGGCAGUGAAUAAUCAUUGCUUCCCGGCAUUUUUAUCAAUUCCACCAGCACAGUUCAAGCUAGUGCUUGAUUCUAUAAUUUGGGCUUUUAAACAUACAAUGAGGAAUGUAGCAGAUACUGGAUUGCAAAUCUUGUAUCAGCUUUUACGAAACAUUGAGCAGCAUGAACAAGCUGCACAAAGCUUUUAUCAAACAUAUUUUACAGAUAUUCUUCAACAUGUAUUUAGUGUAGUAACAGAUACAUCGCAUACCGCAGGCCUUACAAUGCACGCUACUAUUUUGGCAUACAUGUUUACAUUAGUUGAGUUGGGAAGAAUACAGGUACCACUUGGACCAGUGCCUGAUAAUACAUUGUAUGUUCAAGAAUUUGUAGCGAGGUUACUCAGGACUGCUUUUCAACAUUUGACUGAUAAUCAGAUUAAAAUAACAGUGCAAGGUUUGUUUAAUCUUGAUCAAGACAUCCCAGCAUUCAAAGAGCAUUUGAGAGAUUUUCUUGUACAGAUAAGAGAGUACACUGGCGAAGAUGAUUCUGAUCUUUAUUUGGAAGAAAGAGAAACAGCUUUACGAUUGGCUCAGGAAGAGAAAAGGCGACAGCAAAUGGCAGUACCGGGUAUUCUGAAUCCACAUGAAAUGCCAGAAGAGAUGCAGGACUGAAUAAACUGUAAUCCUUGCCUGAUAUUUGUGCAAGACCAAACGACAAACACUCUGCUGUAGAAACUAUUAUAUCUGCAACUACUCUCACAACCACUACCACCACUACUACCACUAGUACAGCCACCAUCAAAGAUUUUAAAAGAAAAGGAGUUUCUGUUGUGGAAAAAGUGUGAAUGCCUGCUUAGCGAUGCUAUUUCAUGUAUAAGAAGAGGGUACUUCUCAGAAUAAAUUAUUGACUGAUGUUUGUGUAAGAGAUGACGUUCAUACAUCAACUGUCUAUAAUUAGUGGAUAGAAAGAACAUGGCAGAAUUUUGUAAUGGGAAGUUUGUUGCUAAGAGUGACAGAGUAAACAUUUUUUGUAUUAAUGCAACAGCACCGUACAUGUGACAACAAUGCAUUUAAUAGUGCUAUGUGAUAGUUGCAUCAUCUGGCUCAAUGAACACAGUAUACUAUACGACACUCUUACUUUUACAUAGGAGAAUUGUGAUGUACUGUGCUUUGCGAAACCGUAUUCUUUCUACAUUUUUGGUCGUAUGAGUCUGUUCUAAAAUAGAGAUUGAUAUGUAUGCGGAGUCAUGUGCGAUAAAUUCUGCUUAUACAUUGUCAAAUGAUUUUGUUACAAUAUAGACUCUACACACAGAGAAUUCUUUUUGAUUCAUUAUUAACUUAUGAUCGCGGAAGAAUUAAAAUUACAUCCUUUUAAUUUUAUAACUCAAAAUCUUAUCCUAAAAAUAUGAAAUUUUUUUUUCUUUUAAUUUCAAAUAUUAAUCAAUAAAUAUGAGCUUCUCCAUCACCUGCAGAAAUUACGACUUAUAUUUUGCUGAGUUACUCUCUUAUCUAUUUGCUGCUGACUCUAGUAUCUAGUAGAGUAAAACAUUAUCUUUAAUUUUUUUCCUUAUUUUUUUGUAUCGUUCCUUUUUUAUAAAGGCAGCUAAUUUGUCUAUUGAUUUAUAUGUGCAUAUUCUCUAAAGGAUAUUAGAUUUUAGGUAUGAUACAUAAUUUGAUAAAUACAUAAAAAAGUACAAUUGACAUACAUAAAAAAGAAAGAAAUAUAUAACUACCCCAAGAUAUUUACAUGUGAUAUACUAUUUCACGUGCAUAUAGUAAACACUCGGCCAUCAGAAAAUAACAAAAUGCACAGAGCUAUGAUAUCUGCAUGACUUAAUGCAUUUAGGACAAGUACAAGCAAACUUUAAGUACAAUAAAGGAUAAAAAAUGAUUUUGCAUUAAAUAGUAUCGUCGUAGCAGGCUUUUGAGGUAACAUAAAUGUCCUAGAUGAAUGUGUGUUUUUAUCUGCGUGCAGUUGAACUAUAAUGCUAUUAUAGUGCAACAUAGUAAAGUGACGUUGUACUGUAAUAUUAUAAUACUAUUAUGCUGUAUAUAUGAUCCACUGCGGGCCGUGAAGUGGCAUCUUGUAAAUGAAAAUUAAUCACGAAAAUAUUAGCAUUUGUUUAUGCUCCACUCUUGCUCAAUUCAUUGUAUAUUUAAAAACUUAAAAAUCGAUGAUUUUAAAGAUAUCCAAGUAAAGCUGUUCCACUUAUUAUUACGUUCCACUUAAUAUUGUAAGUUACAAAAUUGCAACCAUCUUUAAACUAUUAAAGGGUAAUAUUAGCUGGAAGGUGACGUUUAUAAAGUGUACAAUAUAUGAAUCAAAAUUGAUAAAAUAUUUCUUUAAUAAUUAAUAUGCAACGUAUGAUAUUUAUCUUACUAAAUUACAUUUCUUAAGUUCAUUUAAUAUCGGGGCCAUUAAACAAUAGGUAUUCGAUCUGAUUCAGUUAGUUUCAAUAAUAAGUAGUACUGUACCUAAUAUUCAAUCUUAAUUAAAAUAUGAAGUCUUUAUCCUUUUUUUUAUGUUAAGGGAACGUUUAUAGAUAUUUGAAUGCUCGUAACAGACAAAAGUUUUUCUUAAGAGAGAGAGAGAAAGAGAGAGAGAGGGGGAGAGAAAGAGAGAGAGAGAGAGAGAGAGAGAGAGAGAGAGAGAGAGAGAGAGAGAGUGAGAAGUGGGGUUUUAGAGAGUACAUAUAACAAGCAUUAAUUAGAUUUCCAAAGUAAAUAUAAACGCAUCAAUUAUCAUUUUCAUUGUGUAAAAUUUAAAUAACGAGAAAGUAUAAAUAUUUUCUAUAAAUACUACACACUUUUAUAAUGUGAUGUAGGAUUGUAUGAAGUCGGUACUUUUGAUGAAUGUUUCAACGUUCUUAUGCUUUUUAUAUGAUCUAACACCUUCUAUGUGAUUCUGGUGUGACUGCAUAAUAUUUCAAUGUCUUACAUAAAUUCAA